GUGCUCGCUUCGGCAGCACAUAUACUAAAAUUGGAACGAUACAGAGAAGAUUAGCAUGGCCCCUGCGCAAGGAUGAAAAUGUGUUGCUUUUUAAAAAAAUUUAU